rnacentral:rRNA from 1 species
UAGGGAAUCUUCCGCAAUGGGCGAAAGCCUGACGGAGCAACGCCGCGUGAGUGAUGAAGGUCUUCGGAUCGUAAAACUCUGUUAUUAGGGAAGAACAAAUGUGUAAGUAACUAUGCACAUCUUGACGGUACCUAAUCAGAAAGCCACGGCUAACUACGUGCCAGCAGCCGCGGUAAUACGUAGGUGGCAAGCGUUAUCCGGAAUUAUUGGGCGUAAAGCGAGCGCAGGCGGUUAGAAAAGUCUGAAGUGAAAGGCAGUGGCUCAACCAUUGUAGGCUUUGGAAACUGUUUAACUUGAGUGCAGAAGGGGAGAGUGGAAUUCCAUGUGUAGCGGUGAAAUGCGUAGAUAUAUGGAGGAACACCGGUGGCGAAAGCGGCUCUCUGGUCUGUAACUGACGCUGAGGCUCGAAAGCGUGGGGAGCGAACAGG